rnacentral:tRNA from 1 species
GGCGUGGUAGCCAAGUGGUAAGGCAGAGGUCUGCAAAACCUCUAUUCACCGGUUCGAAUCCGGUCCACGCCUCCA